CCCUUGAACCUCUCCCAUGCUUCACUGAAGCUCUCUAGACCUUUUUGUUGAAACCCGGAGAUUUCGUUCC
rnacentral:snoRNA from 1 species